AAGCAUAAAAUCCAGAAAACACGAAAUAAAACUAAAAAUUGAUAAAAAGUUUGAUUAACUUACAUAAAUAAAAACUAACUUGAAAGGCAACAUAAUAUGAACAAAGUAUUAUAGAAUCCUUGGCUUCUUGUCGAAUAAGUGAUGAAAAUUCAGUAAAAAUGGGGACCGAUCAUGAAGCUAAUUUCUUAAAAGCAUUUAAUGCUUCUGUAUGAAGAUUAUCAAAAGCGUGUUGUAAUUGAGAAUAAGAUAAAU
rnacentral:lncRNA from 1 species